rnacentral:rRNA from 1 species
UACGUAGGGUGCGAGCGUUGUCCGGAAUUAUUGGGCGUAAAGGGCUCGUAGGCGGUCUGUCGCGUCGGGAGUGAAAACUCAGGGCUUAACCCUGAGCUUGCAGUGGGUACGGGCAGACUAGAGUGUGGUAGGGGAGACUGGAAUUCCUGGUGUAGCGGUGAAAUGCGCAGAUAUCAGGAGGAACACCGGUGGCGAAGGCGGGUCUCUGGGCCGUAACUGACGCUGAGGAGCGAAAGCAUGGGGAGCGAACAGG